CCGAGGGGAAGCGUAGGUGCUGCACCCUGCACUGACCCCAUUCUGUCAGAGAGAGUCGCAGAUGCUGCAAGAGACAAGGCGAAGAGAGAAAAGACACUCUUUUCAGGAUACAGAUGUACACACCCCCAUCCUUCACUACAGGAGGACGUCUGUGUCCAGUUAAACGUGAGGACGUAGUCUCCCCUGCGUGUCUCGCUCUGUCGGACCAGAAACACUCCAUGUCCCUCUGGUCCAGAGCUCUGAACCA